rnacentral:rRNA from 1 species
UACGUAGGUGGCAAGCGUUGUCCGGAAUUAUUGGGCGUAAAGCGCGCGCAGGCGGCCUUUUAAGUCUGAUGUGAAAUCUUGCGGCUCAACCGCAAGCGGCCAUUGGAAACUGGGAGGCUUGAGUACAGAAGAGGAGAGUGGAAUUCCACGUGUAGCGGUGAAAUGCGUAGGUAUGUGGAGGAACACCAGUGGCGAAGGCGACUCUCUGGUCUGUAACUGACGCUGAGGCGCGAAAGCGUGGGGAGCAAACAGG